UACAGAGGUCUCAAGCGUUGUUCGGAUUCAUUGGGCGUAAAGGGUGUGUAGGUGGCGCUGUAAGUCGGGUGUGAAAUUUCGGAGCUUAACUGCGAAACUGCAUUCGAUACUGCGGUGCUUGAGGACUGGAGAGGAGACUGGAAUUCAUGGUGUAGCAGUGAAAUGCGUAGAGAUCAUGAGGAAGACCAGUGGCGAAGGCGGGUCUCUGGACAGUUCCUGACGCUGAGGCACGAAGGUCAGGGGAGCAAACGGG
rnacentral:rRNA from 1 species